UACUCAGCAACUCUUAUCCCUACCUCCUCGCGGUACUAGCGGGGGUACAAGUUCACCUUAGGGAAGAUCGGGUAACCAAACUCGGUGAG
rnacentral:ribozyme from 1 species